rnacentral:rRNA from 1 species
AGCGAACGCUGGCGGCAGGCCUAACACAUGCAAGUCGAACGAACUCUUCGGAGUUAGUGGCGGACGGGUGAGUAACACGUGGGAACGUGCCUUUAGGUUCGGAAUAACUCAGGGAAACUUGUGCUAAUACCGAAUGUGCCCUUCGGGGGAAAGAUUUAUCGCCUUUAGAGCGGCCCGCGUCUGAUUAGCUAGUUGGUGAGGUAAAGGCUCACCAAGGCGACGAUCAGUAGCUGGUCUGAGAGGAUGAUCAGCCACAUUGGGACUGAGACACGGCCCAAACUCCUACGGGAGGCAGCAGUGGGGAAUCUCGCGCAAUGGGCGAAAGCCUGACGCAGCCAUGCCGCGUGAAUGAUGAAGGUCUUAGGAUUGUAAAAUUCUUUCACCGGGGACGAUAAUGACGGUACCCGGAGAAGAAGCACCGGCGAACUCCGUGCCAGCCGCCGCAGUAA